GACAGAGGCCCCAAGCGUUAGGCGGAAUCACUGGGCUUAAAGCGUGUGUAGGCGGAUCGUUAAGUGUCUUGUGAAAUCCCACGGCUCACCCGUGGAACGGCUGGGCAUACUGGCGAUCUUGGGCCAACUAGGGGCAGUCGGAACAAGCGGUGGAGCGGUGAAAUGCGUAGAUAUCGCUUGGAACGCCGUAGGUGAAAACAGACUGCUGGGGUUGCGCCGACGCUGAGACACGAAAGCCAGGGGAGCAAACGGG
rnacentral:rRNA from 1 species